UUGGUGCAGUGCCGACAUCAGGGCUUUAGCAGUAGUAUCGGUAUCAAUAAAUUUUUUGCUUGGUGAUACCUCGCGUAUACCGGUCUGGCACCUCAAGGGUUAACAGAUAAGGUAUCAUCGCAACUUGUGCCAGUGGCAUUUGACCUUAUUUUGAGGUCUCAACAGUAAACAACAGUAAGGUGUCGCAUAAAAUAUGCUCAGGAGGCGUUUCAAGAAGUGGGACAACUAAACAAAAACUUACAAUAAGGCUGGACCAAUAUAUUUCUUGUUUCCGGUCGCCCGACCGGGUCAAAUUUGAGGAAAACCUAAAAGUUUUUUUUGGAUCGUUGAUAUUAAUUUGUUCCAACGGGCAUGCGCACUGAAGCCAGACAGAAUGGCCUCGUUGUGUGUUGAGUGCUGGCGAUCAGCGAAGCAUCUUCUUUCACAACGGUUGAUCCGCGUGGAAUUUGACGCAACACUGGAAGACGUGUUUGAUAGCCACGUGAAGCCGAGAUUGGCGUCUCACGGAAGCUGCCUUCCUGUGCACGUGAAUGCAAAGGCAACUGCGUCUGAAAAGACUGGGGCAUGGAAGGACGUGGAAAUGACGGAGAACGUGAGCCUACUGAUCGACUUCGGAUGCCGUUUCAUCAAGUUUUCGCUCCAAGAUGCCGCUAUGAAGAAGUGUCAAUUGCAAAGCGGCCGUGUCCUGAUGGGGCCUCUGCAUUCAAAGUUCUAAUGACCUCCGCAACCGCUAGGGACAGGCUACCGGAAGAGAAAAACGGUAGAUCAGCGAAGUCUGCCUUGUAUCAGGAUGUAGUCAAACACCUGAAAGUAGGAUGAUUGUCAUUUUCCCGUAUGUGUAUGGGUCUUGUACAUGUAUAGUUGUAGACUGUUUUCUGUUGUUUUCUAGGACUGUGGUCUUGGUUUCACUCCAGACGUUGCUGAAAACGAAGGACGGUAUGUGGUUAGAACCAUUAGGUCAGCACUAUGGUAUGUGCACCUAGCCUCGACACUAGGCCUCCCUUUGCUUUCGGUGGUCCGACCGAGCGAGGAUAGCAACGGGACUGUAUCAUGUGAUGUUCUCUCCGAAAAGCAAAGGGAGGCCUAGUAACUCAUUAUGUCACGUGACAAGCUAGCUUGUCACCUGAUCUAUUUUGCAAAUGAUGAUUGGUUGACUCUAAAUCACAUUUGAGUUACUUCCUGAUUAUUUCCUUUGAUAUGCAAAGCUCUUUAAGCAUUUAGGUAAUUAAGAAAACAAAUGUCUAGAUGUCAAAGGUGUCAACAAAGGUGCUAUUAUCACACAAUCGCCUACUAGUAGCGCUGCAGGUGUCGUUUGGCCUCUCAUGCGCUAUCAUCUCUGUUCCGUCAAGAUCAUUCUUGUUUGUUUCUUCGAUCCCAAUGGAGCCAAAGUAUCUCAGUGCCUGUAUUCUUCUACAGAAAGAUCACCGAGAGAGGAGAGCACAGUGGUAAGACAGGCUCGCGUACAACAGCUUCUUGUGCACUACGUCUAGUGACCAACGAAUCAUUUGGAUGCGUGUGUUCGUCUACAUAGAUUGCAAACAGUGUUUCAGUAUUCUCCCGACAUCGCUGCGAGUGAAGGUAUCUCUGUCAAUCGCAUGCAGCAGUUGUUUCUGGAGGAAUUCCAAGCAGACAUCAGUCACGUAGAAAUUUCAUGCAUUGUGGCAGUGGCUUUCCCGGCAGUGGGACGAAAGUUUAAUUAUAAGACUAAAGCGUAUGUGUACAGUGGUUUAGUACCUAUUGCGUCGUCUUCUUCUACUCAACCACAGCAGACGGAGCAAUUGCACUCUGCCUGCGCGUCUUUACACCCUCUUGUUCCACUGCCUUCGAUGACAGACGAUCAACUAAGCAGGAGUGCGCCAGCAAUGCAGUGGAACCCAUCAGCAGGAACUGGCCUCCAGUCACUGGACUUAAUCAUCGACUGGAGUCAGGUAGAAGAGGUAUUGGUGGCCGAAUUGGAAGCUCUAGAUCAUAGCGAAUGUCAGUCUCUUUUGCAUGGUCCUCUGUCCCAGUCAGACUUGUCGACGUUUUCUGUGCGUGAGAUUCACAGCACAUUUGAGCACUGUAGUCCAUGCUUAUGGAAGCUUUUAGGGAGAUUAUCCACACCACAUGCGUCGGCUGAAACCAGCAUAAGUGCAACUAUAGCAACUUCUGCUAUUGAAAUCCAGACAACCUAGGAGUAGUGGGCUACAGCUGCUGACAACAUUCCUACUUAUAGCAAAAGGCACCCAAAAACAGGUCAUUACCACGCUAAACCACCUUGGCGUGUGCCUUUCCUACCAGCAUGGUUGGCAGCAGUUGAAGCAGAUUGCUGAAGACGAGGGACAAGUGCAGCGAUUAGUGCAACAACCCAUUCUUUGGGUUUAUGAUAAUUUGAACAUUCCUGCAGGGCUUCGUCAUGAGAGAAGUGGGUUGAAAGCCAACAUGUGGAACAUGACUACCCGUCUACUUGUUAUAUUGAGAUGCCUCGGUGAAGUAUGGGAUAACAAGCCACAGAUUAAUUAAUUCUCUGAUUUAAUUAUUGAUUGAUUUAUUAAUUUUCUAUGUACACUUGUGUUGACUGUAGAUGAGAAGAGCUGACUUGAACCCUGCUGACAUACUGCCCAGUGAUGGUGAUGGUCAGCAGCUAUGGGACAGUGCUGUGAAAUUCAUGGAGAAUUUCAUGGUUGGAAAUUUUCAGUGUCUUCAUCACUUGAAAUCAUCAGGCAUCUCUCUCCAAAAGUCAAUAACAAAGUCAGAGGUCAUUGCCUUGGACAUUCUUGACAUUGAUGAAUCAUCAACCGACAACAACAUUGCAAUCUUGGAAAGGUUUUGCAGAGAUGUUCACAAAUCUCAACCUUCACUACAGGCAGUAGUUGGAGACCAGAAAACCUGUAGUAAUAUCAGAGGAGCCAAGAACCUGAGAACCUAUGAAAAGGAAUUUUAUGCAUCAACUGCAGUGGGCUUGUGAUUCUCCAGGGGAUUUUCAUUUUAUGUGGGAACGUCUUCGAGUGACAUUCUGGUCUCUUUGGGGCUCUGAGAGGUAUAAGGGCUCUUUAAGUCAUUUGAAAGACAUUGGCAAUAGGAGGCACGCUGACAGGGGAGUGAAGACUUUCAAUGUCUGCGAUGAACUUCUCAGACAUGCCUCUCAAGCUCAUUUGCUUGCUGCAGUUACCAGCCAUUUGAAUGUGGCUACUCCCUCUAACCCUAUUGCUUGUGAUCAUGAGCUAACCAACAGUUGGCGGCUUCGAGAUGUUGCUGAACGCAUUGCAAGUUCCACAGUUUUACCAAAAGAACCUGACAUUCAUUUAAAGAAUGAUGAUCAAGUGUGCUUGAUGCAUCGUAGAGUACUUCACUUAGGAUUUCUACAUGAACUCUUAAGAGAUUCCGUAAGGAAAGAAAAUGGACCACUGGUGAUCAUUCUAUGGAGGUUAUGGCUACCUAUGUUCUUGGGAUCUGGUAGAAAGAACUACUCAGUGGAAGCAGCCAACUUGUUGGCUAACCUGAAAGCUGACUGGUCAUCUUCCAUGGCAUUUAUUCAUACUCACAACAGGUCUGUAAAUAUGUCUGGGAAAGAAACGGUGGCAAAGCUGUGGAUCACUUGAUACAGUACUACAAUCUGAUCAUCAAAAAUGCCAUGUCUGCUGCAUCAAGUUAUUCGUUUGACCACGUUAGAGUCAUCUCUAGAACUGCUCUCUUUCUUGCACAAGUAGCACACACUGCUGAAGAACAGUUGGGGUCUGUUCGUGAACAAACUUCCCACACUACUCGAUCUGCUGACACAGACAUUAAUUAAAGCAAUGUGGGAAGCCAUCACCAACAAUCAAGUUCAUCUUGAAAUACCUGGGAGGCUAACCCACACUCUUAUGAUCGAUUCAAGAGAAAAGGGGGUUAGAAAAAAUUGAAGCAGGUUGGCUGGUUAACUUCUUAAAACGAACUGAUGCUGUGACCAGGGUACAGAGCAGUGAGGAAUGUGACUCAGCAGACGAGCCUCAGCUACAGUUCGAGGAUUUGGACAUAUAGUGUUGUUGGUAGAUUUACUUUUUGCAGCACAAAAAAUUUGGCUGUAAAAGUGGUGUGUGUGUGUGUGUGUGUGUGUGUGUGUGUGUGUGUGUGUGUGUGUGUGUGUGUGUGUGUGUGUGUGUGUGUGUGUGUGUGUGUGUGUGUGUGUGUGUGUGUGUGUGUACAUAUGCAGGUAACUACAUGUAUAGAUAGUAGAUUUGUAUUUUUCUCUACUGCACCUUUCUAGACUGUCAGAGAUGACCAAGAAACCAAGGGGUAUUAGUAUAUGAUUGUAAGUUGAGCAUGUGCAUUACAUUUAGUUCAAUGUCGUAAGCGUUCGCUUCUUUUUUGCCCGAGUCUGAGGAUGGUGCUGUGAUGGUCGCUUUCUGUUCAUUUGGUGGGGGCGUGAGUUUACCAUGUUGUGGUAACGCUCCGUAAUUUUCGCUUUCUUUUCGCUUUCUGGGUUUUGCUACAAAGGCUACCACCCGUUCACAACGUUUUGUAGAUACCAACUUUGAUAUUUGGACGUCUUGAGUACAGCUUGGACUAAUCUGGUGUUUCGAGCUUGUUUUUCUCAAGAUGGAAGGGUAUCUAGCACGACCUCUAACGGUCCAUCUGCAAACUGAGGAGGAUAUCUCAACUCGUGAUAAUGGCACUCCAGACUGUAGUAGAGGAAGAAAACAUCAAAUGCGUGACUCAGACUCUCCGCCAUGGCGUUUGGCAAAUCUCCUUUGGGAAUCAAACCGCAAAAAACACUGUUUUGAGAGCUGGCCUUGACAUCAAGGAACGACAUUAUGAAUGCGUAGAGCUGUCAGGUUCAUGACCACAACAUGCACACCCUGCAGGACCACCACCUGCACUGGUGACAUGUAAGAUGCCAUACGAGAUGCCAGAUGCAACAAUUAAAAGUGUAUUGU